GCCGAGCUGGGUAACUCUAGCUUGUAACCCAAGUGGGGGCAUAGGUGAUGGAACAUGGCUAUGAUUCUUCUAGGUUGGGGUGGGUUGCUCCAUGUUGGCUUGCCCAUUCAAAGCCGAGAGUUGAGUCAUGUUACUUGGGUGAAGACUCAGGUGUCAUGACUCCUAGACGAGAGGGCACAGCGUGAGGCUGGUUUCACAGAGCAGCGAACACCUCUGGCUCUUGACAGUUGAAGGAUCACAGGCUACUGCACUCUUAUCCCACAAUGCCUGGUGAAUCAAGCCACUGGACCAUCACUUUU